rnacentral:rRNA from 1 species
GACGAACGCUGGCGGCGUGCUUAACACAUGCAAGUCGAACGGAAAGGCCUCUUUCGGGGGGUACUCGAGUGGCGAACGGGUGAGUAACACGUGAGUAACCUGCCCUUGACUUUGGGAUAACUUCAGGAAACUGGGGCUAAUACCGGAUAGGAGCUCCUGCUGCAUGGUGGGGGUUGGAAAGUUUCGGCGGUUGGGGAUGGACUCGCGGCUUAUCAGCUUGUUGGUGGGGUAGUGGCUUACCAAGGCUUUGACGGGUAGCCGACCUGAGAGGGUGACCGGCCACAUUGGGACUGAGAUACGGCCCAGACUCCUACGGGAGGCAGCAGUGGGGAAUAGUGCACAAUGGGUGGAAGCCUGAUGCAGCAACGCCGUGUGCGGGAUGACGGCCUUCGGGUUGUAAACCGCUUUCGCUCAUGACGAAGCUUUGUGUGACGGUAGUGGGUAAAGAAGCACCGGCUAACUACGUG